GCCCCUGUAGCUCAGAUGGAAAGAGCAAUGCCGUCGAACGCAUAGGUCGCGGGUUCGAGUCCCGCCAGGGGCG
rnacentral:tRNA from 1 species